rnacentral:rRNA from 1 species
UACGAGGGGUCCAAGCGUUGCUCGGAAUCAUUGGGCGUAAAGCGAGUGUAGGUGGCUUUGUAAGUCAGGAGUGAAAGCCCUGGGCCUAACCCAGGAAGUGCUUUUUGAUACUGCAAAGCUUGAAUGUGGGAGAGGAUCGUGGAAUUCCAGGUGUAGUGGUGAAAUACGUAGAUAUCUGGAGGAACACCGGUGGCGAAGGCGGCGAUCUGGCCCAACAUUGACACUGAGACUCGAAAGUGCGGGGAUCAAACAGG